AGGGGUAUAGCUCAGCGGUAGAGCAUUUAACUGCGGAUCAAGAGGUCCCCAGUUCAAAGGUGGGUACCCCCU
rnacentral:tRNA from 1 species